AUUGAACGCUGGCGGCAGGCUUAACACAUGCAAGUCGAGCGGAGAUGAGGUGCUUGCACCUUAUCUUAGCGGCGGACGGGUGAGUAAUGCUUAGGAAUCUGCCUAUUAGUGGGGGACAACAUUCCGAAAGGAAUGCUAAUACCGCAUACGUCCUACGGGAGAAAGCAGGGGACCUUCGGACCUUGCGCUAAUAGAUGAGCCUAAGUCGGAUUAGCUAGUUGGUGGGGUAAAGGCCUACCAAGGCGACGAUCUGUAGCGGGUCUGAGAGGAUGAUCCGCCACACUGGGACUGAGUCACGGCCCAGACUCCUACGGGAGGCAGCAGUGGGGAAUAUUGGACAAUGGGGGGAACCCUGAUCCAGCCAUGCCGCGUGUGUGAAGAAGGCCUUAUGGUUGUAAAGCACUUUAAGCGAGGAGGAGGCUACUGAGACUAAUACUCUUGGAUAGUGGACGUUACUCGCAGAAUAAGCACCGGCUAACUCUGUGCCAGCAGCCGCCGUAACAC
rnacentral:rRNA from 1 species